UCGCGGCGCACGGGAUUGGGCGGCUGAGGGCAGGUGCCACGUCCGAGCUGCCCACACACCGCCGUCUGUGUGGCGGUGGCGGUGCAGGGAGAGGGUGUUGCCGUCGACAGUGGGCAGGAAAGGGGUACCAGCCUCACAGAUCCUUUCCUCUGUUAAGUCUCAAUCAUGACCCUAUAGCCCCCCGACACUGUACACCAAGGUCAUAUUGAUUGCAUUGUUAACAAACAAGGUCUGAAUUCAGCAGUAAUAAAAAUGAAUUAGUGAUGGGCACCACCAAAUUCAUGCUGAGUCAAAGAAGAAUUGAGUACACAAUGUAUAAUUCCAUCUAUAAGAAACACUAGAAAACACUACGAUGUUAGAAAGCAGAUCAGUGGUUGGGAAGGGAAUUAAAGGAAUCGUUUCGAAGGAUGAGAAUGUUUUAUAUCUCAAUGGUGGUGUCAAAAUGUAUACGUUUGUCAAAACUCAUCAAACCAUUUUAAGUGUGUACUUUUAAUUUUUUGUUAAUUAUACUAUUUUUUUCAGUCAUUUGGCCUGCAUUUAAAAUGGGACUCUAA